GCAUCGAUGAAGAACGCAGCGAAAUGCGAUAAGUAAUGUGAAUUGCAGAAUUCAGUGAAUCAUCGAAUCUUUGAACGCAUCUUGCGCUCCUUGGUAUUCCGAGGAGCAUGCCUGUUUGAGUGUCAU
rnacentral:rRNA from 2 species